GUGGGGAAUAUUGGACAAUGGGCGAAAGCCUGAUCCAGCCAUGCCGCGUGAGUGAUGAAGGCCUUAGGGUUGUAAAGCUCUUUUGUCCGGGAAGAUAAUGGCUGUACCGGAAGAAUAAGCCCCGGCUAACUUCGUGCCAGCAGCCGCGGUAAUACGAAGGGGGCUAGCGUUGCUCGGAAUCAAUGGGCGUAAAGGGCGCGUAGGCGGCCUUUUAAGUCGGAGGUGAAAGCCCAGGGCUCAACCCUGGAAUUGCCUUCGAUACUGGGAGUCUUGAGUUCGGAAGAGGUUGGUGGAACUGCGAGUGUAGAGGUGAAAUUCGUAGAUAUUCGCAAGAACACCGGUGGCGAAGGCGGCCAACUGGUCCGAAACUGACGCUGAGGCGCGAAAGCGUGGGGAGCAAACAGGAUUAGAAACCCGUGUAGUCC
rnacentral:rRNA from 1 species